rnacentral:pre_miRNA from 1 species
UUUUGUCACUUAUGCUAAUGAUAUAGCCAUGCCCUGGAUUUCGCCAAUUUGACUGGCGAUUUAGGUUGCGUCAGAAAGUAAUUACAUUGCUAGUCAAAUUGGCGAAAUCGCCAGUCAAACUAGCAAAAUUCAGUGCAUGACUAUAUCGCCAGCAUGAGUGGCGAAA